UUUUCAUCAACCAUUAUCACUUUGCACGACCAUUACUCUGAAAAACAGAGAGAAAAGAAAACCAAAAACCAUUUCUUGGCUGGUUUGAAGAAAUUCUAAGGAGAUCCAAGUGAAAUCAAAGCCAAAGAAGUGGAUUAAGCUUAGUUCUAGCCUUUUUAUGAUAUUUCUUGGUGGUUUCCAAGUGGUUUGAGGUUUAGAAAGCUUGAAGAGAUUGUUUUCGCCGAAAAGUUACUCGGAUAAGCACAUCAAUACCUAAGACACCACUUGUUACAUGGUGAAAUAUAUUUUGGACAGAAGGUAGAGAAAGAAAUGAGUGAAUGGCAUAAGGAGAACUGAAGCAUGGUCCUGACCCUGAUUUGUACAUAUGAACAUAUCGACCUUUUUGUGGGUUAUUUCAGUUAUCAGUGUGAUAUUUGUAAUAAAGUGUGAAGUUAUGUUUUGAAAACAAAUUUGGUUAUUUAAUACUUAUGUAUAAUAUGUUUGAGACACACUUUAUGUUUAAUGUAAAUAAUGUGAAAUAAGUUU